CAUUCCUGAGGUAAAAAACUUCUGAUUUUGUGCUCUGGGGCAGAUUUGGGGUUGAAGAGGCAGAUUUUGGGAGGUGGGAGGAAAUCCUGAGGGAAAGUCAGUUUUUGAGGCAAAAAAAAAGAGAUUUUGGUGUGGAGGAGGCAGAUUUUGAGGAGUGGGAGGAAAUCCUGAGGGAAAAGAAGCAGGUUUUGAGGUAAAAAAUUCUGAUUUGGGGGUCUGGGGGCAGGUUUUGGGGUGGAAAAGGCAGAUUUUGGGUGGUGGGAGGAAAUCCUGAGG